rnacentral:rRNA from 1 species
UCAUUCGCAAUGCGCGAAAGCGUGACGAUGCGACGCUGCGUGGAGGAUGACGGCCUUAGGGUUGUAAACUCCUGUCAUGAGGGAAAAGUUGUCUUGCGGUUAAUAACCACGAGACUCGAUGGUACCUCAAGAGGAAGCCACGGCUAACUCUGUGCCAGCAGCCGCGGUAAUACAGAGGUGGCGAGCGUUGUUCGGAUUUACUGGGCGUAAAGGGUGCGUAGGUGGUUAGGUAAGUCGGAUGUGAAAGCCCAAGGCUCAACUUUGGAACUGCAUCCGAUACUGCUUGACUAGAGUGCAGGAGGGGAGAGCGGAAUUCUUGGUGUAGCGGUGAAAUGCGUUGAUAUCAAGAAGAACACCGGUGGCGAAGGCGGCUCUCUGGAAUGUUACUGACACUGAGGCACGAAAGUUGGGGGAGCAAACAGGAUUAGAUACCCUGGUAGUCCCAACCGUAAACGGUGUCGACUUGGUGUGGGGGGAAUUGACCCCUCCCGUGCCGGAGCUAACGCGUUAAGUCGACCGCCUGGGGAGUACGACCGCAAGGUUAAAACUCAAAGAAAUUGACGGGGGCCCGCACAAGCGGAGGAGCAUGUGGCUUAAUUCGAUGCAACGCGAAGAACCUUACCCAGACUUGACAUAUACCUGCACGCUCUCUGAAAGGAGAGAAGCUUUCGAAGGUGGUAUACAGGUGCUGCAUGGCUGUCGUCAGUUCGUGCCGUGAGGUGUUUGGUUAAGUCCAGCAACGAACGCAACCCUUGUGAUUAGUUGCCACCGGUGGUGAUGAGCCACCGAGCACUCUAAUCAGACUGCCCUUGCAAGAGGGAGGAAGGUGGGGAUGACGUCAAGUCAGUAUGGCCCUUACGUCUGGGGCUGCACACGUGCUACAAUGGCCGGUACAGAAGGCUGCAAUACCGCGAGGUGGAGCUAAUCCUCAAAACCGGCCCCAGUUCGGAUUGGAGUCUGCAACUCGACUCCAUGAAGUUGGAUUCGCUAGUAACGGCGUAUCAGCUACGACGCCGUGAAUACGUUCCCGGGCCUUGUACACACCGCCCGUCACAUCAUGAAAGCCGUCUGCACCCGAAGUCACUGAUCUAAUCCCCUUGUGGGAAGGAAGGUGCCGAAGGUGUGGGUGGUGAUUGGGAUGAAGUCGUAACAAGGUAGCCGUAGGGGAACCUGUGGCUG